GACGUAGGAGGCGAGCGUUGUCCGGAUUCAUUGGGCGUAAAGAGCGCGCAGGCGGCUUGGUAAGUCGGAUGUGAAAUCCCGAGGCUCAACCUCGGGUCUGCAUCCGAUACUGCCCGGCUAGAGGUAGGUAGGGGAGAUCGGAAUUCCUGGUGUAGCGGUGAAAUGCGCAGAUAUCGGGAGGAACACCUGUGGCGAAAGCGGCUCUCUGGACCACAACUGACGCUGAGGCGCGAAAGCUAGGGGAGCAAACAGG
rnacentral:rRNA from 1 species